rnacentral:rRNA from 1 species
GUGCCAGCAGCCGCGGUAAUACCGGCACCUCAAGUGGUCGUCGCUUUUAUUGGGCCUAAAACGUCCGUCGCCUGUUUGGUACAUUCGUGGGUAAAUCAAGCCGCUCAACGGCUUGAAUUCUGCGGGGACGGCCAGACUAGGGACCGGGAGAGGUAUGGGGUACUCUCAGGGUAGGGGUAAAAUCCAGUCAUCCUGAGGGGACCACCUGUUGCGAAGGCGCCAUACUAGAACGGAUCCGACGGUCAGGGACGAAGCCUAGGGGCACGAACCGGAUUAGAUACCCGGGUAGUCCUAGGUGUAAACGCUGUGGACUUGAUGUUGGGGGUGCUCCGAGCACUCUCAGUGUCGAAGCGAAGGUGAUAAGUCCACUGCCUGGGAAGUACAGUCGCAAGGCUGAAACUUAAAGGAGUUGGCGGGGGAGCACCGCAACCUGAGGAUUGUGCGGUUUAAUUGGAUUCAACGCCGGAAAACUCACCAUAGCCGACGGACAUAUGAAGGUCAGUGUAAUGAACUUACCCGAUUGUUCGAGAGGUAGUGCAUGGCCGCCGUCAGUUCGUACCGCAAGGCGUUCUGUUAAGUCAGAUAACGAACGAGACCCUCAUCUCUAUUUGCUAACUAGAUCUCCAGAUUUAGUGCACUAUAGAGAGUCCGCUGGCGCUAAGUCAGAGGAAGGGGAGGGCAACGGUAGGUCAGUAUGCUCCGAAUGCUAUGGGCUACACGCGCAAUACAAAGGACGGGACAAUGGGCUGCUGCUCCGAAAGGAACGAUAGCUAUCCCGAAACCCGUUCGUAGUUCGGAUUGAGGGCUGUAACUCGCCCUCAUGAAGCUGGAUUAGGUAGUAAUCGCGUCUCAAAAAGGCGCGGUGAAUAUGCCCCUGCUCCUUGCACUCACCGCCCGUC